UGGGGAAUCUUGCGCAAUGGGCGAAAGCCUGACGCAGCAACGCCGCGUGUGUGAUGAAGGUCUUCGGAUCGUAAAGCACUGUCGCGAGGGAAGAUACGCCGUCGUCGAACAAACGGCGGCUGAGACGGUACCUCGAGAGGAAGCACCGGCUAACUCUGUGCCAGCAGCCGCGGUAAUACAGAGGGUGCGAGCGUUGUUCGGAAUCAUUGGGCGUAAAGCGCUUGUAGGCGGCCUGAAAAGUCUCGUGUGAAAUCCCCUGGCUUAACCAGGGAAGUGCGCGAGAAACUUUUGGGCUUGAGUGCCGGAGAGGGUCGCGGAAUUCCCGGUGUAGAGGUGAAAUUCGUAGAUAUCGGGAGGAACACCAGUGGCGAAGGCGGCGACCUGGACGGACACUGACGCUGAGACGCGAAAGCGUGGGGAGCAAACAG
rnacentral:rRNA from 1 species